rnacentral:lncRNA from 1 species
UUCUCCCGGAGGCGCAUGAUGUCCUCGGCCAGGUUGUCGCGCUCCACCUCGACGCGGGCUUUGUCGUUGGUUAGCUGGUCCACCUGCCGGCGCAGCUCCCGCAUCUCCUCCUCGUAGAGGUCCCCCAGGCGCGACUUGCCUUGGCCCUUGAGCUGCUCGAGCUCGGCCAGCAGGAUCUUAUUCUGCUGCUCCAGGAAGCGCACCUUGUCGAUGUAGUUGGCGAAGCGGUCAUUCAGCUCCUGCAGCUCCACCUUCUCGUUGGUGCGGGUGUUCUUGAACUCGGUGUUGAUGGCGUCGGCCAGCGAGAAGUCCACCGAGUCCUGCAGGAGCCGCACCCCGGGCACGCUGCUCCGCAGGCGCACGGCAGAGGAGCGCGUGGCAUACACGCCGCCCGGGGACGAGGCGUAGAGGCUGCGGCUGGUGCUGGGGCGCAGCGCGCUGCCCAGGCUGUAGGUGCGGGUGGACGUAGUCACGUAGCUCCGGCUGGAGCUCGGCCGGCUCGCGGUGCCCGGGCCGCCGAACAUCCUGCGGUAGGAGGACGAGGACACGGACCUGGUGGACAUGGCUGCGGAGGGUGGCGAUGGCCUGGGCGGCGGCGGUGGCGCGGACUGGCUCCCGGAGAAGAGGCGAACGAGGGCGCGAAGCCUUCGAUGUGAGGCCCAGGCAUUGAGUACCAUGUGUGCGAUUCACAAGCCUUGGCAUCUGAACAAUUUUUUGGAAGGAUCCAUCAGGACAACACGUCGGGGGUGUACUAGUGAAGUGAUUUUCCAAAUGUGCUACUCAGACCUGUAGCAUCAGCAUCACCGGAUAAUUUGUUAGAAAUUCCAACUGUUAGGCCCCACUUUAGACCAACUGAAUGUGAAACUCUGGGAGUACGUGGGGCCCAGCAAUUUGUGUUUUUACAAGACUUACCAGGUGAUUCUGAGAACCACUGUGCUAGUGAAUUGUUCCUGUCUGUGGCCACGUAGAAUAAGAAAACCAUAGGGUUGGAAAAUGGGGAAACUGGCUGGUCUUUAACUUCUGGCCUCAAGGGAUCCUGCUGUUCUGGUUUCCCAAAACACUGGGAUUGUAGACCUGAGCUACUGCACUGCAAUGGCCAAAAUGUGGUCUAUAGCGCCAUAUUAAAGGUAAAAGGGGGAAUAAAUCACUUUGUGGAUGCCCUGACUUUACAGACCAUCAUCGUGUAGGAGGUGAGGCUGCUGAGGAGAAGAUGCUUUACACACGCAAGGGUUGUAAUAAUGACUUUCAAGGUACUCAGUCUAAUCACAAAAUAGAGCUUUAAAGGUGAAUUAUUUUUGAAAUGUUCAUAUUUAGUAUUUUCCUCAUAGGCAGAAUUUUGAAAGAGUGCGUAUCUGAGGCCUGACAUAUUGUUUUGGGAGCUAAAAUGUGUUUAAAAUGUAACGUUCAGAGGAAGUUAACUGCUAACUUUUCUCAGUUGUAA